UACGGGGGGGGCAAGCGUUGUUCGGAAUUACUGGGCGUAAAGGGCUCGUAGGCGGCCAACUAAGUCAGACGUGAAAUCCCUCGGCUUAACCGGGGAACUGCGUCUGAUACUGGAUGGCUGGAGUUUGGGAGAGGGAUGCGGAAUUCCAGGUGUAGCGGUGAAAUGCGUAGAUAUCUGGAGGAACACCGGUGGCGAAGGCGGCAUCCUGGACCAAUACUGACGCUGAGGAGCGAAAGCCAGGGGAGCAAACGGA
rnacentral:rRNA from 1 species